UUCUGGAUAAGUUAUAAAGAGCGCACGGAGGAUGCCUAGGCGCUAGGAGCCGACGAAGGACGUGGCGAACGACGAUAUGGCCUCGGGGAGCCGUAAGC
rnacentral:rRNA from 1 species